UCUACAUCUUUGCAUUGCUGUCAGAAAUAAGAUAUUUGGGAUAGAUGGGAGACCAUAAAGCAAACGCGUCAGCCUCUGUGGAGUUGCUGUUGAAGUACGAGCAUUUUGUUUCUUGACAGCUAACCGAGAUCUUUGAACCAGUAUCCAAGAUGAUAUACGAAGUAUAAUUUGAGUCCUGUCGUCUCAAAACAAGGAAACGUGCGAUAGAUAGCUCAGGUUAGUCGGAAAUCAAUUUUUGGAGUACGAUGGCGUUAACUAACCCGAAUACUAUUAUGAUGAUGAGCCGAGUCAAAAGUCAAUAACAAUGACCCAGUGUUCUCGAGUAGAUGGGCCAUCGAAUGAGGAU
rnacentral:ncRNA from 1 species